AAAAGAAUAAAAGCAGGCUGCCCGAGCCGGCAGUGGCAAGCUGCUGGGCUUCCCUUCCACAUUGUGGAAGCUUUGUUCUUUUGCUCUUUGCGAUAAAUCUUGCCCCUGCUCACUCUUUGGGUCCACACUGCCUUUAUGAGCUGUAACGCCACGAAGGUCUGCAGCUUCACGAACCCAUCGGGAGGAACGAACAAUUCCAGACGCGCUGCCUUAAGAGCUGUAACACUCACCGCGAAGGUCCGCAGCUUCGCUCCUGAGCCAGCGAGACCACGAACCCACCAGAAGGAAGAAACUCCGAACACAUCCCAACAUCAGAAGAAACAAACUCCAAACACAUCCGAACAUCAGAAGGAACAAACUCCAGACGCGCCACCUUAAGAGCUGUAACACCGCGAGGGUCCGCGGCUUUAUUCUUGAAGUCAGUGAGACCAAGAACCCACCAGUUCCGGACACAAUACUUUUCACACUGCAUGAUGAAGAAAUUUAGCUUUAUUGUUAGGGAAUUCCUGAAGAUUCUGAAAUUGUGAACUGACAAGCCCAUGGAUGUCUACAAAGAGUGAACUGAUCACUGUGGGCUGGCCUUUGAGGCAUCAGUGAGCUCCAGUGCCUGGGACAAUGCCUGACACUUAGCAGACAGUCAGUGAAUGUGUUAUAUAAAUGAAUGAAUACUUGGAGCGUGAGAAUCAGAGCGGCAAAAAUAUUUGUCCAUAAUAUGCCUAAAGAUAAAAACGGAAGCCUCAGAACUAGAUAAGUGCAUUGUAAUUGAAUGCUGAAUUCACAGAGAUAACAUCUGAGAUUUAUUAAGCAUCAAGUCAUGUCUUAAAAAUUUUAUAUACAUUUUAGGAUUUAACUCUUAUAAAAAUCCUGUGGGCAUUGUGGCUCUGGAGACCUGGAAGCACUGCUAACUGUUCUCUCGAUUUUCUGACGCUCGGCCACAUCAACCUGUCAUACUAGUUGUGAGGAGAAGUCAAGGACAGUGACACAGCCAGCCAGUCUGAGGCAUUUUCCAUCAUCCUGAAGGAGUUGCCCUAUCCUGCUUUUCACUGGAGGGGGCAUGGAUGGGGGCUCCUGACACACUGACCUCUGUCAGUUCCUUCAGCACACCAGGCUAAUCCCCAGUCUUGCGCCUUUGGACCAGAGGUUUUCUUUGCUCAGAAUACUGUUUCAACAGAUCUUUGCAUAGCUGGCUCUCGCUAUUUGACUAAAA
rnacentral:lncRNA from 10 species